rnacentral:rRNA from 1 species
UGCCAGCCGCCGCGGUAAUACGAAGGGUGCUAGCGUUGUUCGGAAUUAUUGGGCGUAAAGAGCAUGUAGGCGGACUGUUAAGCUAGAUGUGAAAGCCCCGGGCUCAACCUGGGAUGGUCAUUUAGAACUGGCAGACUAGAGUCUUGGAGAGGGGAGUGGAAUUCCAGGUGUAGCGGUGAAAUGCGUAGAUAUCUGGAGGAACAUCAGUGGCGAAGGCGGCUCCCUGGCCAAAGACUGACGCUCAUGUGCGAAAGUGUGGGUAGCGAACAGGAUUAGAUA